UAGGUUGAGUGUUGUCCGCAUUUGAACCGAGUGCCUGCAUUUACUCUAUAAUUGUGGGUGUCCGUGAGAAUGCUAGAUCAAGGUGUGAAUAUUGCGCAGCCAUUGCAUACAGUUGAAAUGUGAUGGUGCUGUUUUUAAAAUUCAGACAAACAAUAUUUGUGGUGCUAAGAAGGUUUUUUUCUAAAACAUUUGUAAAGUCCUGUCAUCUAACCAGUGCAUUUGUUUUUUGAAUAAUAAUAAUGACAUUACGCAAUUCCUUUAAUGUUUAUAAUUCAGUGCUUAAAAUUAUUUGAGAAUUCAGCCGGCUGUAUUCUAACCAUGCAAUGUAGCUGCAUCAUCCAUUCCAGGCGCCUGCAAAUUAAUUCACACUGGAGCCUGAACUGAAGGAAUGAUAGACUAGGCAUGACAGACACUGUUAAUUUAAGUUUAAUAAAGGCCUUAUGAUGAUGAUUAUUAUUAUGGGCAGCCUGUGCUUUUUGGUUUUGCAUUAGGGCUAGACCUGUUCACUCGUGAGCUUCUCCUGCUCUGCUCUCAUAUCUAGGCUCCUGAAACUGACACCAGCCAUCCCUGGUAGGCAGGACAGUUGGUAAAUUUAUACCAGCUUCUGCACAUUUUAUUUCAGCUUCCCUCGUAGUUAUGUGUAUAUUCUGUGACAUAAGCAUGGUAAUAGGGGGCUUGUAACCAUAGGGUUCUAAAGAGUUGCUUUGGGGAAAAAAACCUGUCUAUGAAUUAAUAUGUGAAAUAUAGUGCAUGCCAUAUAAAUUUAUCAAAAUAAAAGGUGUCCAUUGUGGGAAAUAAGUAUAUAGCUACUGGCAGUCAUUUUAAAGAGAUAAUGAUUAGCUGAAAUAUUUACAAAGAAAAGGGAGAGAAAAGUAAGAUCUGAGGUAAGAAUACAAAAUAACAAUUUGCAUUUGAUUGAAACAAAGGAUUGAUAUUUUAUACAUGGUUGUUUGAACAUAAACCAUACAAUGGCAUAUUUUCAUCCCAUCAGUUCAUUGCAUUAUAUUAUUGCAUUAUUUAAAUUCUGUUGUAGUGUACCAUGUGUAACUUGGCCUGAUUGACAGUGUUGUCCUUCAUUUUUGCCAGAUCACUGUGGCGGGAUGACAAGUCCAUUGUCAAGGGCUGCCCAGCUAGCUGUCCCUCUCUAUAUCUGCUGACAGCAUGGUUCUGAAGCGUAGCCAGGAUUCUAAUUCCAGUUAUUCAGCACAGAAACCCAAUCCACACAGCAGGCACUCAGCGUCAGUAAACCACUCUGCUGCACUGAGGAUCUCUUCAGUUUAAACAUGGCUCUUACUUCAUGUGCAUGGUAUUGGAUUAUAACAGCAAACAGAGAUGCACACGUGUAAAAUGGAUGAGAUUCCUGCAGUAUUAGUUGCAAUCAGGCUAUAUUUUUCAGUAACUGAGUAAACCCUGGGGUAGCUAUAGUCGUACUUUUUCACCUGAUUCAACCCAUUGAUUGUCUUAAACAACUAAAUGGCCAAAAGAUGUGUGUGAUUUGUUAUCAAGAAAAAGAACAUGGGAAUACAAGCCAUGUGUUGACCCAGUAGACUCUGGUCUAUCACAUGCAUAUACAGCCCAGAACAUUCUGUUAAACAUUACAAAAAUCAGAACUGGGUAGACGUUAAACCAAGGUUGAAUUAGACACAAAUUAUUAAAAGCAGAAAUAUCCUUUCACAUUGCCCAAAGGCCAUCUGACAAGCAAAUAAGCAGUGAUAGGGCUACUUUGCUGUGAGCUUAGUGCAGAAGAGAAAGUGCUGAAAUGUGUAUGACCAAUGCGCUGACUGGGUCUGCCAAGACAAUACUUUCACGUCAAACCAAGAGCAGGUAUCCACCCCCCUCAAAGUAUCCUAAGGUUUCACUCUACAAGUUUAAUGAGGGAGGACAGAAAUGCAGCUCUACUAAAAUGAGCACAAGCCACUGUGUCCACAGCAUGUGCAGUCAGGUCUGCUUUCAAAAUUGUGAUGUGGAAACACUCAACUUGUACACAAAGCUAGCAAGUCUGUUGUCUGAAUAGCUUACACAAUGUUCUCCAUAAUCUAAACACAAAAUAAAAAAUGAAAAAAGGAGUAAAGGAAUAAAGUAUGUCACCGUACCCAUAUUAGAUGUGUAGUCAUUCUGUAUUUACACAAUAGCAACACUAAUAUAAAAAUUCCAAAUAAACACUUGUCCUUGUUAAAUUCUAAUUCAAUAAAAAUGAGUUGUACGACAACCGACAGUAGCCGACAGUGGGGCUCAUUGCCGCGAAAGCACGCCAGACAUCUAUUUAUUACACUGCAACAUUCAUAUAACCUGUCCUUCGAGAAUAAUGCGGCAAUGCACUUCACAACGUCGAUCUUCAUACGGAACUGCUAACAAACAACAGGAUGCCUAAUUCAAGGACUUGGUCAGGGUCAAAUUAAAUAAAGGGAAAGCGAAACGCGCCUAAUGAACAUGCACUCGAGAUAAUGGCAUUUGUUAUCACUACAUUGGGAGCUGAAACUGAUUUUCCAGGACCUCUUUGAAGUUCGAGGGGAUGCUCGUUCCCAUAAAUACAAGCGCCUGCAGUUGCUGCAGGACAUGGAGCUGCGCUGUGAGGCAGGCCACCUCUGCGCUCUUCUCCUGCAGUGCUCUCCUGGUGGCCUCAAGCUCCUUGGUCAGCUCCAGCACCUGCUGCUGCUUCAGUGUGCGCUCAUUCUCCAAACAGAGCACCCUCCUCUGCAGAGACGCUGCCAGACCCUGCGCUGCCUGGAGCUGAGAUGGGGCAAAAGAGCAUUUUGUAUGCACACUUAACUGCUUACGACCUGAAAUAUAAUAAGAGCUCGGCAGGGACCCGGCACCAGCUACCUGCUCUCUGACCUUCACCGCCCCGUCCCCCGGGCUCCUGUGUAGGUCGGAGCCCUGUUCGUCCACCUCGUCUAGCUCUCUGAUGGACUCCAGGGGGGAAACACGGUGCCCCGCGUUACUCAGACUGUCCUCGGUGUGAGGGGACACCAGCGGGCUCUGCAAAACCAACUCCUCCUCGGGCUGGUCUCCUGAUUUCGGCUGCUGCAUGUUUUCGGCUGGAGAAGGGAUCACUGAGGUGAUGCUGUAGCAGUCCCCCGUCUCAUCCUCUCCAUUCUUUGCCCUGCCCCCUUCUUCCUUGUUCCUUGGCUGCCACUCAACAGUUUCACACAGCAGUUCGCUGGGCAUUGCCAUGGACUUCAUAGGUACCAUCUUGAUACAGUCUGAGUAAUAAUAUAAAUACUACUGAAUAAAUGAUGGUAUUAUAAUGGUA